UAAAUAUGCGGAUAAAAUAUAAAGACAACAGUAACGUCUAAAGCUUCGUACAGACUUUAAAAUGCUUGGGUUUGACGGAUAUACGUGUUUGUGUUCGUUCUUCACGAUGGACUAUGUCCGGCGAUUUUAUAGUUGUCAAGUGAGUCGACAAGAUUUAAUAUAACUCGCAUAGCUUCGAAUGAAUGGAGAAGUCAGGCCAGAUAACAACCAAGCCUGAUAUAAACGACUUAGUUUUGCCAGAGGGAUGGAAAAUCCUCGUGAUUGAACAAGAUCGAUUGGUUUACAUCAAGUAAGUGCGUUCUUGCUGAGAUCGUAAACUUAAUUUAUUAAUAUUGUCAUGAAAAUCGUUCUUGUAUACAAAAGCUAAAUCAUCGAUCACUCUAUCUAAAAUAUGUAGUAAAUGUACUCGAAUUUUGUGGUCAUUGAAAUUGCCUUGAAAGCUAUUAAAUCGGGCAAUUUAUCGGGAACAAAAGAGGUAUAGAGUGGCAUCUGUUUAUUGCCUCAUGAAUUUGACAAUUUGAGUCGUAAAAUGUUUCAUUUUACAUUUAAUGAACUUAACAUUUGUUGCUUACUUAUUACUUUUUCCCGAAUGCAUAGCAUUAAUUUGACAAUGAAAUAUUGCUUAUCCGGAUUAAAACUAUUUGCUUAUGCUUGUUUUGCGUCGAUUUUUUCCAAAAAUAUAAAAGCUUCUGCAUAGCUUUUGUGUAUUAUUUUUCUAGAUAAUUUUCCCAGCGAGCGUUUAAAAUGCUGACACAUUUCUGAAAUUAUUAUCCCGAAAUUAUUAAGCUACUUCGUUCUCGUUACGGUUUAAUUUACAUUUCACAAUUUGUUUUCAUAAUAAAUCUCGCAUGAUAAUGUAACUGUACUUUUAUAUCGCUAUGUAGUGAAGUCGAUAAGAAGUGGUCUUGGCUGCCUCCUAUAGAAACUUGGAGAAGUCGGCAUGAUUUGUCGUAUGGCUGGGAAGUUGCCCAAACCUCUGAUAGCAAACUCUAUUACAUCAA